GCUUAGUGAAGGCAGACUGCCUGGGUUCAAAUCCGGGUUCUGGCACGUAUUAGCCCCGUAUCCCUGGGCAAGUUAAUUAACCUCUCUUAGCUUCUGUUUCCUUAUCUGAGAAAUGAGGAUAAUAAUACUUACUUCAUAGGGUUAUUGGGAGUUUUA
rnacentral:snoRNA from 1 species